rnacentral:rRNA from 1 species
AACGAACGCUGGCGGCGUGUCUAAUACAUGCAAGUCGUACGAGAAAGUCCGACUUCGGUUGGACGAGUAAAGUGGCGAACGGGUGAGUAACACGUGGGCAAUCUGCCCUCCGGUCCGGGCUAAGCCUGGGAAACCGGGUCUAAUACCGGAGAUAUCCCGCGAUGGCAUCUUCGCGGGAUCAAAGGCGGGGUAACCUGCCGCCGGUGGAUGAGCCCGCGGUCCAUUAGCUUGUUGGUGGGGUAACGGCCUGCCAAGGCUACGAUGGAUAGCUGGCCUGAGAGGGUGAUCGGCCACACUGGGACUGAGAUACGGCCCAGACUCCUACGGGAGGCAGCAGUAGGGAAUAUUGCGCAAUGGGCGAAAGCCUGACGCAGCGACGCCGCGUGGGUGAUGAAGCUCCUUGGAGUGUAAAACCCUGUCAGUGGGGAAGAACCGCAUACGGAGUAACUGCCGUAUGCCUGACGGUACCCACAGAGGAAGCUCCGGCUAACUCCGUGCCAGCAGCCGCGGUAAUACGGAGGGGGCAAGCGUUGUUCGGAUUCACUGGGCGUAAAGGGCGCGUAGGCGGAUUAGCAAGUCAAAUGUGAAAACCAAUGGCUCAACCAUUGGUCUGCAUUUGAAACUGCUGAUCUUGAGUACGGGAGAGGAAAGCGGAAUUCCUGGUGUAGCGGUGAAAUGCGUAGAUAUCAGGAGGAACACCGGUGGCGAAGGCGGCUUUCUGGCCCGAUACUGACGCUCAGGCGCGAAGGCCGGGGGAGCAAACAGGAUUAGAUACCCUGGUAGUCCCGGCAGUAAACGAUGGGCACUAGGUGUUGGAGGUAUCGACCCCUUCAGUGCCGCAGCUAACGCAUUAAGUGCCCCGCCUGGGGAGACGGCCGCAAGGCU